rnacentral:rRNA from 1 species
UGGAGGAAAASUAGGGGAUCGCAAGACCUUGCGCUUUUGGAGCGGCCGAUGUCUGAUUAGCUAGUUGGUGAGGUAAAGGCUUACCAAGGCGUCGAUCAGUAGCUGGUCUGAGAGGACGACCAGCCACACUGGGACUGAGACACGGCCCAGACUCCUACGGGAGGCAGCAGUGGGGAAUUUUGGACAAUGGGGGAAACCCUGAUCCAGCCAUGCCGCGUGAGUGAAGAAGGCCUUCGGGUUGUAAAGCUCUUUCAGCCGGAACGAAACGGUCACGGCUAAUACCYGUGAYCACUGACGGUACCGGAAGAAGAAGCACCGGCUAACUACGUGCCAGCAGCCGCGGUAAUACGUAGGGUGCGAGCGUUAAUCGGAAUUACUGGGCGUAAAGCGUGCGCAGGCGGUUUUGUAAGUCAGAUGUGAAAUCCCCGGGCUCAACCUGGGAACUGCGUUUGAAACUACCAAAGCUAGA